GUUAAAACCUUUAACCAAUAGUCAUGAAAAUUUUUAACAAAAAUUAAAAUCUUCAAAACUUUCAACAACGGAUCUCUUGGUUCUCGCAACGAUGAAGAACGCAGCGAAAUGCGAUACGUAUUGUGAAUUGCAGAUUUUCGUGAAUCAUCGAAUCUUUGAACGCACAUUGCACCCUCUGGUAUUCCAGAGGGUAUGCCUGUUUGAGCGUCAUUUCUCUCUCAAACCUUCGGGUUUGGUAUUGAGUGAUACUCUGUCAAGGGUUAACUUGAAAUAUUGACUUAGCAAGAGUGUACUAAUAAGCAGUCUUUCUGAAAUAAUGUAUUAGGUUCUUCCAACUCGUUAUAUCAGCUAGGCAGGUUUAGAAGUAUUUUAGGCUCGGCUUAACAACAAUAAACUAAAAGUUUGACCUCAAAUCAGGUAGGACUACCCGCUGAACUUAAGCAUA
rnacentral:rRNA from 1 species